rnacentral:rRNA from 1 species
GAUGAACGCUGGCGGCGUGCCGAAUACAUGCAAGGCGAGCGAACGGACGAGAAGCGUGCUUCUCUUAUGUAAGCGGCGGACGGGUGAGUAAGACGUGGAUAACCUACCUAUAAGACUGGGAUAACUUCGGGAAACCGGAGCUAAUACCGGAUAAUAGUUUGAACCGCAUGGUUCAAAAGUGAAAGACGGUCUGGCGGUCACUUAUAGAUGGAUCCGCGCUGCAUUAGCUAGUUGGUAAGGUAACGGCUUACCAAGGCAACGAUGCAUAGCCGACCCGAGAGGCUGUUCCGCCACACUGUAUCUGCGACACGGUCCAGCCUCCUACGGGCGGCAGCAGUACGGACUCUUCCCCCAUGGGCGAAAGCCUGACGGAGCAACGCCGCCUGAGUGCUGAAGGUCUUCGGAUCGUAAAACUCUGUUAUUAGGGCCGAACAUAUGUGUCAGUAACUGUGCCCAUCUUGACGGUCCCUACUCAGAAAGCCACGCCCAACUACGUG